UGGGGAAUUUUGCGCAAUGGGCGAAAGCCUGACGCAGCAACGCCGCGUGGGUGAUGAAGGUCUUCGGAUCGUAAAACCCUGUCGUCAGGGACGAAGGUCGGGGAGUUAACAGCUUCUUGACUUGACGGUACCUGGAGAGGAAGCCCCGGCUAACUCUGUGCCAGCAGCCGCGGUAAUACAGAGGGGGCAAGCGUUAUUCGGAAUUAUUGGGCGUAAAGGGCGCGUAGGCGGUUUGUUAAGUGAGAUGUGCAAUCCCCGGGCUUAACCUGGGAACUGCAUCUCAGACUGGCAGGCUAGAGUGCUGGAGAGGGUGGUGGAAUUCCACGUGUAGCGGUGAAAUGCGUAGAGAUGUGGAGGAACACCAGUGGCGAAGGCGGCCACCUGGACAGUAACUGACGCU
rnacentral:rRNA from 1 species